UUCCCUUGCCCCACUGGCUACUACUGCCCCGAGAACGUCACCAACUACAGCAGGCACCCCUGUCCCGCUGGCUUCUACUGCCCCGAGGCACGAAGUACGCCACCCAGUUCCCCUGCCCUCGGAGCUACUACGACCCAGACCCACUGACCCAGAGCCUGGACAGCUGCCUGCCCUGUCCCCCAGGCCACUGCUGCGGGUAGGAGAACCUGACCCGGGCCUCUGGGCCUUGUGCGGCAGGAUGGUUCUGUGUGUCUGUGGCAUGGACCGCCCGCCCCUUCAACCUGGACAACUACACCAGCACCAAUUGCCUGUGCCCAGCCAC